rnacentral:lncRNA from 1 species
AUGAUUAGGUGUGGCCAACAGUGAACAACAAGAAGUACGAGACACUGUCAUACCUACCUCCUCUAACCAGAGAGCAACUCAUCAAGGAAGUUGAUUACCUUCUCCGCAACAAGCUCAUUCCUUGCAUCGAGUUCGAGUUGGAGGUAUUAUUUCUCAAUCUAUAUAUAUAUAUAUAUAUAUAUAUAUAUAUAUAUAUAUAUAUAUAUAUAUAUAUAUAUGUUUUCUUAAUUUUAAAAUUAAAAAUGAAUAAAUAAAAAUGAAAAAUAUAAAAAAAAAUGUAUGUAUAUGCAGCACGGAUUUGUGUUCCGUCAGUACAACAGCUCCCCAGGAUACUACGACGGUCGAUACUGGACAAUGUGGAAGUUGCCUAUGUUCGGGUGCACAGACGCAGUACAGGUAGUGAACGAGCUUGACGAGGCAAUCAAAGCAUACCCAGAGGGCUUCAUUAGAAUCAUUGGAUUCAACAAUCUCAAGCAAGUCCAGGAUAUCAGUUUCAUUGCCUACAAGCCUGCUGGCUACUAAUAAUUUCUAUUGUGUUUUCCUUUAAUUAGGAUUCCUUUUUUUUUUUGUAUUAUUACUUUCAUUUCCUUUUUCCUGCUUUUCCUAAUCUCUCUAUCUCUUUCGGAUCGAAAAGAUAAAUGAGUGUACGAGGAUAAGUAUUUACUACUCAAUAAACUAUAAUGCAUUUUCUUCCUUUUUAAUAAUUACUAUACUGUCAUCUCUUGAUCGCCUAAGUUAAGCGGGUAAGCCUCGGGAAAAUAUCUUAUUUAAUUUAUUAUUUAUCAGUGAAUAAAUUAUUUGGUUAUAGAUUAUCUUAAUGUAGGAGAAUUCAUGUAAUGAUUAAUGAAUAACUGGAGCUCAAAUGUAAUAGUUGAGAAUAUGGACGCGAGUGCAAUAGUUAGUUGGUAAUAGAAAUUAAUUAAUUAUUUACCGUCAAAUUAAAUAUAAUUAUAUUAUUUUUAGAAUUUGAGUUUAAUUUACUUAUUAGAAGUGCGAUGCAUAUUUUCUCAUUUGGUAUUUAUCGUAGCCCAAUCAAUUAUGUAACUUAUUGAGAAAAUAAAAUUCAACUAAUGGAAUAUAGGAGAAAGAGACUUAUUUCAGAGAAGGAAAAAAUGGCCGUAGUGUCUUGUGGAAGAAAUAACUUAUUUUCUUAGUUAUUUCCUUGUAAAACUCUUUGAUCAGCCCUAUAUAUACAAAACUUGGUUGGAGAGAGAAAGUUGAGAUCCUAACUCGCCUAGCAAAAAUCUUUUACACAUGUUUUUUAAGAAGAUAAUUUUUCUCCUUUUAUUUUCGCUCCCUAUUUCUCAAUUAUAGAUUUAUAAUUCUUCAAGGACAAGUCCACCCUUGUAGAAGAACUGUUAAUCCGAGAUAGACAAUUGAAGAUUGAAGAUUUUGAUAGAAGAUGAAUAUUCUUGAAUGCUCUACAACAACCUUGAUGUUUUGACAAUUGCUACUUUAUCAACCGUUCAAUCGUCACAAAAUUUGAACUUGAGGUUCCUAACAUGUAGCAAUUCGAUCCGAACCAAACGGAUAGUCAAUCCAAUUUUGGGAUAUCAAGUUAUAGGCGUCUAAAGUGUGUUGUAUUGUUCUAGACGGGAGCAAUUUGUGAGAAGCUUUGUUCGUGUUUCCUGCAAUUACUGAAUUCAAGAUGGUAUUUUUGGGUCGUUUCCGAAUAUAUUUUUAAGUUCUAGAUUAGUUUUUAUUUCGCAUUUAUUAAUCUAUAAUUUAUUACGCAAAACAUGCUAGGGAAAAAUUUAUACCCGAAAAACAAAGGUUCGUCAUUCGAAUUAAUUAUCAAUGAUGCGCUCUUGGAAUUUAUAUAUAUAUAUAUAUAUAUAUAUAUAUAUAUAUGAGUCAGCGUUGCAUUGAUCGAUUAGUGCUUCUACCGAUCGGUGUGUGGUGUAAAAUAAGGGUUUCACAUGUAGUCGCACUAAUCGAUUGUCGAUCUCCUGCUUGGUAUAUUUUGACCACUUCCUGCUUUCUUCAAGUAUCGCUCCGUUGCCCAUAUCCUUCCUCAUUUAGCCCUCAACGCCGUUUUAGCCAUUGUAUUGCCACACAAAUAUUUAAUAUAUGCAAAAUGCAUCAAUCUAACUCCUAAAUACAAUAAUAGCUAACAUGCAGCUAAACGACAUAUAAAUGAUUGUACUAAUGCUCGAUUCUUACCUUAAAUAGAUGUGAAUAAGUAUACAUUUUACACAUUUAACCCUUUAGUAUUUGGUGGUCAUCAUGGCUUCAGUUUUCAGGAGACGGUUGUGGAUACAGUCUUAAAAUUCGGACGGGGUGUGUCCGGGGUGGGUUUACUUAUUUUUGUUUUUGGUCUUAUAGUUAGGAAAUUAGAGGAUUUUGUGUAUAUUGAAUUAUACAAUUUUUGGUGUUGGAACUUAAUAUAGUAGCUACCCAGAUGUUAAUACGAUCAAUUCCACAUUUUAGAGAUGUUGAUCCAUUUCGAGAAAUAUAUUUCACUAAAUAACUAAUCCCUCCACUAAACGCAUUGGGCUCACUUACUCAAUAUAGAAAUAUAUCUCUUUGUUAUGAGAUCAAAGUGGAUUAGACUAGUUACAUGUGUACCUUUUUAUAUUUAGGGAUUAAGAGAGUAAGUGUUUUGGUGAUAAUAAGAAAUAAUAUAGUUUUAUAUUAUCAGUAGUGAAAUAAUUAUUUCACUUUGUCUGGUCCAAUACAUGCCGAAUGUGCUAGCACAAUAAGUCAAAAUAAUAACUAUAAAAAAUAUUCUAUAUCUAUCGUAAUCAAGACAGAUCACUUAAAUAUAUUAUUAAAUACAUUGUGCUACAAUCUUUCUCGAUGGUUAGUUCAAUUCCAUUUAGAUUGUGAAUAAUUUAAUUUAUAUUAUAAAACGAACUUUCAAAAUGAUCUUAUGUGUUAUAUCAAAAUCAGCACACCAAUUCGAAUAUGAUUAGAAUAUUAGACUCGUGUAAUUGUUUAAAUAUUAGUUAAAUGCAUUGAAUGCCAUAAUGCAUAUUCUCAUAAAAUGAUAUUAUACUAUUUCAUUAAAUUAAUACUAAAAUUAUGUAGAUAAAUGUGAGAGACUUUUAGUCUACUGUCCCAACAAAUAUACACUCGAGUUAGGACUUUAUUUCGGCGGAGACACUUUUGACACACAACAACCAACCUUGAGAGCGGUUAUAAACCCUAAAAAUGAAAAGAGCGAGGAACACUCAUCUAGAGCUUAGUGUGAAACGAAUAGGAACAGGCAACACAGAAUUUAAUCGUUGGCGGAAUGAAGACAACAUGACAAGGAGAAUGUUCGCCUUCUGUUAUUCAUAGAGUUUAUAUUUCUCUUCUUUUAAUUUAUUGAUUAUUGCAUCCAACAAAUAUUGUUUAUUGAUUUUGAUGGAACUAUACGUAGGUAGAUUUCAUUAUAGGAUUUAAUCGAAUCCCGUAGUGGAUAUUUUGUACUAUGUUUUAUUUUUAUGCAUGUGAUUUAAUUUUCAGUUUAAUUCUCGUGCUUGGAAUGUUUGAAUGCGUGGACUUGAUAACAUCACUGUCGCCAUUAGACACCAGGCCAUUAUUGAGAAUAUAUCACGCUCUUAAUUAUGUAAAUCAUCCUUCUGAAUUAGUUUUUUCUUUUAUAAACAAUACCUUAGAUCACGGUUCAUACUGUAUAUUUUAUGUUGAUCGACCGUGAUUGUAAUUACUUGAUUGAUUCUCAUUGAAUCAAUCCUCCUAUAUAUAUAUAUAUAUAUACUCACAUAUACAUCAAUGAAAAGUGAAAACUCCUAACUUGGGAUAUCCUUUUAUGGUAUCACAACCAUUAGCCUCACGACAUCUCUGAUCCAUAAUUAUCAUUUGUUUUUCUCCAUUUCUUCACUUAUAAUGUCGGACGAUCCCUCGAUCUCUCCCAACCAAACCACCGCCACCACGACUGUGAUGCGAUCUCUUGAGUAUCAUAAGAUUUCUUUACUAAACGUAAGAAAACUCUUGUUUAUUAUUUCUCUGCAUUAUCAAAACCCUAGCACAAUACGGCUAUUUAAAGAGAAUCAAAACCCUAGAAUCCUAAUCUAACUAGGAAAGAUAAUUACCUAUACUAAUAAAAUACUUAAUAAUUCCCUAAUCACUACUACUCACGCCAUAUAUUAAUCUAAAUAUACUAAUCUAAUCUAAUUAUCAAUAAACUACUAAUUAAAAUAAUACUUAAAUAAUAUAUUAAAUAAUAAAAUACUAACUAACGAAUAAAUAUACGAUAUAUUAAAUAUAUAUCGUAUCAAACCACCCCUCUUGAAAUGAACCUUGUCCUCAAGGUUCGAGUCAAUUUGGUCCCUCUUUUUUGCGUUUCCACCUAUGUUUGACUUCAGCGACUUUCUUUCCGAGAAAGAUGUAUUCCUUUGUUUGACCAAUUUUCACAAGCACGUGACUAUCUUUCUUGAUUUUAUGAGUGAAGUCAUCUCUCUCGGUGGAAUCAUGAACUUGGUCUCCAAAGUGAUCCACUUUAGCCAAACAAAAACUAGAUAACUUGGAGUGGUAUUUUUCUUCACAAUAAACAACUAAUUCCACCGAAUUCUCAUUAUGCAAAAUUGGAUCUUCCUUAAAAUUAUGAAAUUCUUUCAAAAUUUCAUGCAAUUUUUUGUUCUCCUCCUUCGUUAAUUUCUUGUCUUCGUCCCACUUUAUCUCAGUUGACUCCGAUUCUUCUUCUUUCGGCUCUUCGUCCCACUUUAUCUCAGUGGAUUCCGAUAAUUCUUCUUUCGGCUCGUCGUCCCACUUUAUCUCAGUUGAAUCCGAUUCUUCUUCUUUCGGCGAACUCACAAACAAUUGGGGUUCUUCGAAAAAUUCAUCGUCGUCCUCUUCCUCUUCCUCCGGCGAUAGGCUCGGCAGCGGCAGCGGCGGUAGUGGUGUUGUUGGUCGGCGGUGGCGGUCUCUUCGGCUCUUAUGUUGGCGCCGUCCUUGACUUUGUUCGAGCAGUUUUUGGAGACCAAUCCGUAUCUCCUCCACGGAUUUUUCCAAUCGCUCUAAACGUUUUCUCUCGGACGACAUAAUUUCGCAAAGUGUUGAUGUAAUCUCAACUUUGCUCCAGCGUAGCUUUGAUAUAAUCUCUGCCUUGCUAACGAAGCGUUGGUGUUAAUCGCAACUUCGCUCUGAUACCAAUUGAUGCGAUCUCUUGAGUAUCAUAAGAUUUCUUUACUAAACGUAAGAAAACUCUUGUUUAUUAUUUCUCUGCAUUAUCAAAACCCUAGCACAAUACGGCUAUUUAAAGAGAAUCAAAACCCUAGAAUCCUAAUCUAACUAGGAAAGAUAAUUACCUAUACUAAUAAAAUACUUAAUAAUUCCCUAAUCACUACUACUCACGCCAUAUAUUAAUCUAAAUAUACUAAUCUAAUCUAAUUAUCAAUAAACUACUAAUUAAAAUAAUACUUAAAUAAUAUAUUAAAUAAUAAAAUACUAACUAACGAAUAAAUAUACGAUAUAUUAAAUAUAUAUGGUUAAUUAAAAUUUGUUUUGAAUAAAGAAAAGAAAAAUAAAAUUAAUUUAGCUAGAACCAAAAUCCCAUUUUCAUUCUACUACUUUUGCCCUCGAUUUUGUCUCAAAUUUCUUAGUAGCUCGAUUAAAAUUUGUAGAAAAGGUCUGCUCGAGAGUCAUUCAACAUCUACGGAGGACAUUGAAAUUUAGUGGCCGAAGACAAUAGAGAAUUGAAAAUUGUACAGUAAGCCCUCGUAUGAUAACUAGCAUUAUCAAAAAAGUUGUACAGUAAGCCUAACUCGUAUGAUAAUGAAGAACACCUGAAACAUUAUUGAACUAAUGUAUCUUUACCAAAAUCAAAUUUUUUUGACAGAAAGUAAAAUAAACUCAUGUGAGAUAUUGACAACUAUUUUGAAGAAAAUAAGAAACAACAGUUGUAACAAUAAAUUUAAAAUUAUGCAAUGAAUAAAAAACGAACUUCUUCAUGCAACCAUGAUGCAAAUAGAGUAUUCAUUUGAAUCAAAAUCCGUCAAAAUGUCAACUAAAUCUUGUACUGACGUAAAUAUUUUUAUUUUGUAGUAUUGCUCUUAAAGCCAUUACGAAGGGAUAUGAAUGUGACUAAUGCAGCAUCCCGGCGAUCGAUGAUAAAUGAAUAUUGUCAUUUUGACACGAUAAGUUCCUGACAACACAUACUGUUCAAAUCAAUCAAUAAAUAAAUAAAAUAAUGUUGAAAAAUCAAAAGUAAGCAUAUUUCUCUAGUACUUUGGUGAUUUGAAUGCAACUUCUCAUCUUGCCACAUUCUUAAACAAAGUUUUGCCAUCUUUGUGUGUGCGUUUUUUCCCCACACGUGGGGGAGAUGGAGAUGCCAGCGGUUUAUCUAGUUGGAUUGUGCAGAGUUAGUUUUUGCUGAGGAAAACAAGCCAAGAGGGGGAAAAUGAGGAAAAAAAAAAAAAAAAAAAAAAAGGAAAAAUAGUCAUAAAAAAAGCAUAGAAAGCUAAAAAUAAUCAUAAUUCGUAUAAAUGAAUGUGCUAAAAACACUAAUUAAGGAAUGCAAAACAACCCAAGGGAAAAUGGACCCUCAAAGUCAUCCACCACAUUGAAAUUGAAAUAAAUCGACCAGGAAAAAACUUAUAUAUCGUACAUUUCUUAAAUAAAACAGUAAACUAGCUCGAAAAUGUCGACAUGAGGGGGAUGAGAGAACGAAGAAUAAAAGGAGAAUAUAUUGGCGAUGGAUGGAGUAGUUUCUUCCAUCUAAAAUGAUCGUGAUGUUAUCGUGUGAACUAAGAAGUUGUGUAUUAGUUAAUAUACCAUAGUAAAAACUAAAAAGCCGCCCGGGAAAAGCAAAGAGCUACGAAAUUACUGAGAAACACCUAGGGCUACGAAAAUUGUUCAGAAAAGAAAAAUUAGAAAUAACCGACUUGAGUAGUGGGGUCAGAUAUGAGAAUAUUCUUGUAGUGGGAGGUAAUAUUAAAAAUAAAACUGAAAAUAUGAAAUGAAAAUAUUGCCCCUAGGGCUACAUCUAGGGUUAUAGGUCAAAAUAUCCUCCUUUUAUAAACAAACAUUGUCUUAUUAUCAUUUUAAUUUCUUUUAAGGGUAAAUUACAACCACCCCUGGAUGUGUGGUCAAAUUACGAAAAUCCCCUCCCCUUUGGGUAAUUACAACCUCCUCAAUUAUAAAUCUUCUUACACGUCCACCCUUGCGGUGUCAAAUUUAGUGGAAUCUUUUAGAUUAUACAAAAUAUUCUCAAUUUUGUACCCAUUUUAUUCCAUUCGAACUCCACAUUUUGAAGCAAGAUGAUCAUAAGAUGUGCUUUUUGGCUUGUAAAUAUUAGAUUAUGGUGCAUCACAGAUUGCAUUUUUGUACAAAUGAGUACAAACUAGAGAACAUUCCACGAAAUCUUGAAGAUUAUGUUGAACUUGACACCAUAAGGGUGGACGUGUAAGAACAUUUAUAGUUGAGGGGUAGUUGUAAUAAUCCAAACAUGAGAGGUUUUUCGUAAUUUAAUCAUUCCACGAAAUCUAGAAGACUAUGUUGAAUUUGACACCAAACAUGAGGGAUUUUUCAUUUUUGGACGUGUAAGAACAUUUAUAGUUGAGGGGUAGUUGUAAUAAUCCAAACAUGAGGGAUUUUUCAUAAUUUGACCAUAGUGAGAAGUUGUAAUUUACCCUUGUUUAUAAUUACUAUGGAGGGAUAAUUGUGUGCAAACUGCAAUGUUUUGACCAAAUACUUGUAUUUAAAUGAAUUAAAUUAUUGAGCAAGAUACUUGAUUAUAAUGAGUAAAAAUGCAUAAAAAAGUAUGAACGUAUAGAGACUAUAUAGAUCCCCUAAGUUGAAGGAAAAUGGACAGGCUAUUGACCUCUCAUAGAACCCCAACGGCAUACGGAAGAUCAGCCAUCCAUCCAUCAAAAUGUUAAAAAACACACACACACACACACACAUACUUCAACACUGGAUAUGGAUUCCAGAUUCGCUGGAAAAAGGAAAAAAAAGGAAAAUGUCAAAACAAAGCUUUUAUUUUUUAAUAUCCCCAUGUUGAAUACAAGAACGUGCGUAGGUUUACGCCUUUUCAAUUUCUUGCAACGUCACGUUGUGUUGUGUUGUGUUGACACUUUCCAAAUAAUUUAAUUCCUAAAAAUUAAAUUGAUUGACAAAGUCUUUGCGUUUCCUUCUCUGUUAAUCUACUGUUAACUUGUUUAUCUGGGUUGUCCUUCAUUUUUCGAAAUUGCAUGAAAUUGAAACUUCGCCUCUUUUUUUUGUUGAGUGUGAUUGUUGUGCAUGGGCGAUUCCGUUUUCCCCAAUUUAUUACAUUUGCUUUCAUUUUAUUUUGAGGUUGUCACAAUUUCUUGCAGGCUACACGGAAUUUUGUUAUGUUGAUUAAGCACUAAUUCUUUCUUUAACUGCAGAUUCCUUUUGCUGAACAACUGAACAAGGAUUGAUUUGUUUCUAUACACAUUUCAAUUCACUUAAUGAUUGAAUAUCAGGUUUGUGAAUAUUUCAUAUAAUUAUUUUUAUUUUAUUUUUUUGUGAUUUAUUUAUUUGUUGAUCUGGUUUUCUAGACAGGGGGAAAAAAAAAAGAAAAACAAAUUGAUAUUGUAAAACCGGGGGCAAGAAUUUCUAUUACGGAAUGGUGAAAUUUGUAUUUGGUCUGUGAAUUAGUUAUAUUUUAUUUAAUUUAUCCUACAAAUGGAACAGAACAUAAUUAGAGAAAAUUUCCCUAAUGUAGCUAAUUCAAAUGGCUUAACAUGGUUUUUUAAGGAUUUGAAAUAUGCUACAAGAGUAUCUGUUUUUUAUUCGGAUCGUACCACUUUCCGUCACAAUUAAUUAAUCUUUUUAGUUCAAAUCAGAGUAUCUGUUAUUCCUAAUAUGUCUCCGAUACGCAAUUCAGCAUAGAGAAUCGGGGAAGAUUGGGCCAUUUUUUAUUUCUUCCAUUGUUUUAAAAAUUGAGAUUGUUAUCGUACGGACAGGUUUUCUCCUUUUCCAAUCGAGCCCUGCCGUUGUAAUGUUAUAGUAACAUGUCAUCGAGUUGAAUAAAUGCUACCGUUGUCAUAUUUAUUUAUUAUAUAUUUGGAUGUUUAAACUGAUAUUAAUAAUAAUAAGAUGAACGCUGCAGCAUUUCAGUGUGGACUAUCAGAAUAUAGUGACGUCAUGGAUCCACAAGUAAAAGAUUAUUAUAGAUUUCGCAGCUCAAGUGUUUCGUCUACCAACAGUGAUGUGUUUGAACCCACUUCAAGUAACAAUGGUACAAAUAUUAUUUUACUCUUGCGAUCAUUUACCUAAUCUGAAUAUAUUCACUUCGAGUUUUUUGUUUUGUGUGUACAGCUAAGCAGCGAGCAUCUGCAGUAGAAUGGUUAAAUGGUAUUCUGCCUGAUUUAAGUUUGCCAAUAAAUGCUUCAGACGAAGAAUUACGAGCAUUCUUGGUUGAUGGAUCUGUUUUAUGUCGAUUACUAAACAAACUAAAACCUGCUUCCGUGCCUGAGGUACCUCCUAGUUUAUUAUUAUUAUUUUUAAUUAUUAUUAUUAUUAAUUUUAAUUAUUAUUUAUAAAUGUUAGUGUGGUGGUGGUUCUAUUCGUUCUUCACAAACGCGGCAAGAAAACGUACAGAGGUUUUUGUUAGCAAUGGAUGAAAUGGGGUUACCGAGGUUUCAGGCGGCAGAGUUGGAAAAGGUGAUUGAUUACACUUUAAUGGAAUGGAGAUGAUAAAUAUUUUUUUUUUCUCGUGGUGAAAUUAAUUAAUUGAUUGAUUUAGUCGCAAUUUUGUUGUAGGGAUCGAUGAAAAUAGUGUUGGACUGCCUAUUAACAUUACAGACGCAAUUUACACUGAAUGCCGAGAGACAUAAUAGUAAUGGAACUGAUUUGAGUUCAAGACGGUUUCUCUCUUCCCCACCUUUUGGAGAAGACAGACGAAAGUUUGCUCCAGAGUCUAAAUUUCAGCGUGCUUUACGUAGUCCUAUUAAGACAGGUCUUUUUUUUUUUUCUCUUGUCUCCAAAUCAGUGUGUAAGAAGUUAUAUAUAUAUAUAACUAAAUUGAUUGUUUAAAUUGGAAUGUUGUAGAGCCAUCAGCUGCGCUUAUAAAUCACGUUGGUCAUAAGUUUCAUGAAGUCUUUCAGUUUAAACAAGUAUCUUAUACGGAUGCAAAUAUUUCAGAAAUGAUGAAAUCCAACAGCUUUGAUGUAAGUGAUUUCCUAAAUUAUUUAAUUUUUUUUUCCCGCCAAGUGUUCCUAAAAUUGACUUUAAAAGUUUUGUAUGUAUAAAUAUGUAUAUGUGAUGCAGAAUUCUCCAACGCAGUCGCUAUUAAGUGUGAUCAAUGGUAUUUUAGAUGAAAGCAUUGAGCAGAAGAAUGGAGAAAUACCUCAUGUAUGUAUUAAGAGAUUAAAAAGAUUUUUUUUUUAUUAGAAUCCAAAAACUUUUAAAGGUCUAACAAACAGAUUAUUGGCUUUGUAAUUGUUCAGCGUGUAGCUUGCCUAUUGAGAAAAGUUGUGCAGGAGAUUGAACGUCGAAUAUGUACUCAAGCAGAGCAUCUUCGAACGGUAAUGUAUUUUAUCAUGUGGGGUCCGGUUGUUUAAUGAUUAUUAUAUUCAUUAGCCCGAAACAUGCGCUCAUUCUUCUUCUUCUUUUUUUUUUUUAAUUUAUCCUGCAGCAAAAUAAUAUUUUUAAAGCUCGGGAGGAGAAGUACCAAUCUAGAAUUAGAGUUCUUGAAGCCCUUGCAACAGGGACUAGUGACGAGACACAGGUAUAAUAGUAAGGCUUCGUAUUUCGCCAUAAUGUAUGUAUUCAAAUUUAUGUAAGUACAUGUUUAUAUAAAUUGCAUAACCAAUUCGCCAAAAUUGAUUUUUUUUGUUUUUUUGGCAGAUUGUUAUGAACCAGCUCCAACAGAUCAAGGUAAUUCAAUUUCUUCACUGUAUGACUGUUAUCUUCAAGUUCAUAUGAUUUAGCUGCUUAUAGACGACGAGCAUCAAAUUAAGGAAGGAAAAAAUUGUUGAAUGUAAUCAAGAUUCGUAAUUCGUGUGCAAAAACAUUACCUGUUAUUACAAUAAGAAUUGAAUACAAGCAUGUAAUUCUGGUGAUAGUGAAUUUUAUUUACAUGUAGUUUUGGGUUUUGCAUGCUUAAAUAUUGUAUUCAUCUGCUCCAAAAAAUGCAGAAUGAGAAAAACAAAAUAGAAGAGAAAAAGAAAGCGGAGGAACAAGAAAUGGCAAGACUGAUGAAAGAGAAAGACGACCUUAAUCAAGAGAUAUCAAAUCUUAAGCAACAGCUCCAAGAUAUAGCUAAGACAUCCCAAGCUGAAUCUCAAGCUCAAGCUCAAGCUCAAGCUCAAGCUCAACAACUACAGCUCAACGAUACAUCUAAAGAGUCUCAAAGUUUACUAACCGAGGAGUCAACAAAUAGAGUUAAGGAACUUGAGGAUAGGUUAAAACUAACUCUAAGCUUACAAACAGAGUCCACAAAUAAAGUGAAGGAGCUCGAAGAUAGGUUAAAAGAGUCUGUCAUCUUGCAAACCGAGUCGGCAAAUAAAGUUAAGGAGCUUGAAGACAGGUUGAAAGAGGCUGAAAUCUUGCAAGCAGAGUCAACAAAUAAAGUGAAGGAGCUUAAAGAGAGGUUAAAAGAGAGGGCAAGCUUAGAAACAGAGUCGACAAAUCAAGUGAGGGAGCUUGAAGAUAAGUUAAACGAGACUGCAAGUUUGCUAACACAGUCAAGAAAUAGAGUUAUGGAGGUUGAGGCAUCCCUUGAAUCCAAAUCUGAAUGGUGGAAGAAGAAAGAAAAUAUCUACCAUAUAUUCACCGAAUUUCAGCUCGGUGCACUACGUGUAAUGCUUCUCUCUCUCUCUACCAUCUUACCUUUAUGUAUCACUUUUUUCUUGGAUUAAGUAAUUUCAUUCUUAUUUUCAUGUAUUUCAUUUCAGGAACUAAAAUUUUCAUCUCAGUCGAUACACCAAGAAAUUUUGAAAACGAAGAAAAGCUAUUCAGAAGAAUUCACUACUUUAGGUAAUUCUAUUUUCUUUUUUUUAAUCGGAUGAAAUAUAUAUUUAUACAUUGCGACUCACACUAAUCGUCGUAACAGGGUCAAGGAUCAAGACUCUAGACGAUGCAGCAAAGAACUAUUAUUCAGUCCUUGCUGAAAAUCGAAAGCUGCACAAUGAACUACAAGAGCUAAAAGGUGACACAUUAUUGUUGACAUAGUUGAACAUAAAAAAGAACACACACGCACACACACUAAAUUGGUGUAUUUCCUCACGUGUUGAUUUGAAUAGGAAAUAUUAGGGUGUAUUGCCGGAUAAGGCCAUUUCUCCCGGGGCAGAAAGGGAAAAGUUCGAUUAUUGAGUACGUUGGAGACAAUGGUGAGCUAAUAGUUUCGAAUCCAUCAAAACAAGGCAAAGAAGGACGCCGCUCCUUCAAAUUCGAUAAAGUGUACAGCCCAGCAGCAACACAAGGUUUAUUUUAUUUUAUAUCUUCAUUAAUAAAAAGACGGUACUAAUUAGUUUAUCUCUAUGUAUGUUAUUUCUUAUUGACAUAAAUUUCGUAUUAUCUGCAGCUGAAGUAUUUUCAGACACACAACCGUUAGUACAAUCUGUUUUGGAUGGAUACAACGUAUGUAUAUUUGCGUAUGGUCAGACUGGUUCAGGGAAGACCUACACCAUGGUAUGAAACUAACUAUAAAUAGGUUUAUAAUUUCAACUUAUAAUUAUUUAUUUUUUGUUAAGUGAAUGAAUUCUUUGUCUCUCCAGACUGGACCUGAUGGAGCAACGGAAGAAGAAUGGGGGGUUAAUUAUCGGGCUUUAAACAAUCUUUUCCGUAUUUCACAGAGUAGGGAGAGCAACUUUACAUAUGAAAUUUCCGUCCAGAUAGUGGAAAUAUAUAACGAACAAGUCCGUGAUUUGCUCGUAAAAAACGACGGUUCAGCAAAAAGAUAUCCUCUAUUUAAAAUUAUUAUGUUUCCAAUCUCAUAUUUUUUGACACUAAAUUUUGAUCCAUUAUUGGUUAUUACAUACAUGUUGCAUCAAAAAUACUUGUUAUCCUUGACUUGCACACACUCGGGAUUUUGUCAACGUCGCAACCCAAUGGUUUGGCAGUGCCAGAUGCUAGCAUUCAUGUGGUAAAAUCAACCUCAGCUGUUUUGGAACUUAUGGAUAUUGGACUGAAUAAUAGAGCCAAAAGUUCGACUGCCAUGAAUGAAAGAAGUAGUAGAUCACACAGGUAUUUCUAUAAUUAUUGUUUUUCAAGAUUCUUGUAUUAUUAUGCAAUCGAUGCAUAUAUAUAUAUAUAUAUAUAUAUAUAUAUAUAUAUAUAUAUAUAUAUAUAUAUAUAUAUAUAUAUAUAUAUAUAUAUAUAUAUAUAUAUAUAUAUAUAUAUAUAUAUAUAUAUAUAUAUAUAUAUAUAUAUAUAUAUAUAUAUAUAUAUAUAUAUAUAUAUAUAUAUAUAUAUAUAUAUAAUUAGUGGGGUAUGAAUAAAUACAGUAUUGUGUCAAUUCAUGCGCGGGGGCUGGAUCUAAAGAGUGGUUCUUCUCUACGAGGCAGUCUUCAUUUAGUAGAUCUUGCUGGAAGUGAAAGAAUUGACCGCUCGGAAGUAACUGGAGACAGACUUAAAGAGGCACAGCAUAUAAACAAAUCAUUAUCCGCACUUGGUGAUGUCAUCUUUGCUUUGGCACAAAAGAAUUCUCACGUUCCUUAUCGCAACAGCAAGCUCACUCAAGUCCUACAGGGCUCCUUAGGUAUGUAUAAUAGCUUUUUUUUUUUUUAAUAAUUCUUCUGAUAUAAGUUAGUUAAUUGAAUAUCGAAUAUUGGUAUUGCAAUGAGUAAUUGAAAAAAAGUGGUUAAUGAUCAGGUGGUCAGGCAAAGACACUUAUGUUUGUGCAGCUGAAUCCAGAUGCAACUUCGUUUAGUGAAACCUUAAGUACAUUGAAGUUUGCUGAAAGGGUAUCUGGUGUUGAGCUCGGCGCAGCUAAAAGCUCCAAAGAUGGCAAAGAUGUUCGUGAGUUGAUGGAACAGGUAACACAACAUUAUUACGAUUAUUAUUUUUCUGCUAUCUAACUUGCGAAUAAUAAUUUAACCAAAUUUAUGUUUCAUUUGACAUGUCCCUGAACUUUGUUAAGUGUAUCCAUUUAUUUGCUCACAAGUCUCUAUAUUAUCAUAAUUAUUUAUUAUACAAUAGACAAUAUAUAUGAUAUGAUACAUUUUUUGGGUAAUAAAUAGGUUUCAUCUCUAAGAGACACCAUAGCAAAGAAAGAUGAGGAGAUAGAGACACUGCAGCUUCUUAAAGAUCCCAAAAAUGGAACCAAUGCUGAGAAACGGGCUACCACCUCAUUGAGGUACGUAUCAUCUUCUACGGGUACUUGUUAACAAUUUCACAAAAAUAUAUAAUCACGAUUCUCAACAUCAGAAAAUAUCCAUAUUAAUUAUUUUUUUUUUGCGGUUGAAGCUGAGAUCUUAUGACUUAGGUGGUUGUGCAGAUAGAUAGUGCUGAGAAAUUUAGUGAUUUAUCUGAUAGUGUACUUUUAUCUUUGCAAAACAGAAACUGAUGGAGAGGCUCUUCCCUGAUUAAGAAAGACAAAUUGGGAACGUACACAAGUAAGCACAUUCGCCUUAUUUGCCCGCGCCUCAAAAAAUGCCUACUUGAUACAAACCACUUUUCUUUUCUUAUCUUACUAAAUCUUCACCGAGUACCAACUACUAAUAGUGUAUUUCUCUUGGUUUUCCACAGGCGUAGAGUUCCACGACCCUCAACUGGUAUGACCACACACAUAUUUAUAUAUAUAUAAUAACGAUACACAAUUGGUAAAUUAUGACGUUGAUGAGCAAUUCGGUUGUAUUCAGCUUUAGCUACUCGUGAUCUUGUUUCAGGUUUGAGAAAAUAUGCCAACCAAGGUGGCAAUAGUUGAGCAUAUAUAGUUUCAGUUAUUUCUUGAUUUUAUUCAUUCUUUAAUUUGCACUGUGAUUUUGAUCCAUCCAUUAUAUUUCCACUUUUCCCUCUUUUUUUCAUGUUCAUAAUCAUUGUAUAUAGGUUUCGUUUAACCCCCAUAGUAAGAACCACAACUACUUGUAACCUUUGGUUGUGUUGUGGUGUGGUGUUCCUUUGCAUUUACUGCAAUCCUGGAUGGAAGCUUGUAACUUCAUAACAAGGCCAAACUUGAGAAUGUUAUUUUCGAAACAAAUUACUGCACAACGCAAUUCUUUUAAUUACAUAUCAAUCCUCAAUCGUCCACUGGUCAGCAAAAAUUCUUAUUGAGGAGAUUCGCUAGUUUUUGUUCUUAUGGUCCGAAUGGAGCUUCAAAUUUUGUCCAAGAAAUACCAACUUCGCUGCUCAUCACCUUGCCAGUUGGGGCAAUUUUUUUCCAAAUGUAAAUUUAAUUCGUUCUUCUUGCUUUUGUGACGGGAAUUCCCGAUUUUAGAUUUUUUUUUUAUUACGUUUUCUUAAUACAAUUUUUACUUACAAAAAAAAAAGACAAGAAAUUAGAAAAAAAUUCAAAUAUGAUUUUGAACCAAUCAGCAUAAGGUGGUGGCUGGUCUAUUCUUGUGUUCUUUUUCAAUUAAUAAUUUGUGGCUCAUUUGUAAGAUAUAUUUCCAUUGGCUGGUCAUUUAAUGGAUACUAAAGUUUUGAAUAAACACUUGGUGGGGUAUGCUAAAAUUACAGGACCAAAUUAAUCCAAUAUGUAAACUGUUUAAGAAAUAUGGACCACUAUAAGUCAUAAAUUAAUUCUCAAAAGGAAAAAUAUUUUAAAAUAUUCGAAGAGCACCCACUAUUGACUAACUAUUUACCAACUAUUUACCAACUAUUUACUACUUUCUUACUAUUAUCUAACAUCUUAUUGCAUAUUCUAUAGCUUAAAAACAUGGGUAAAACCUUGUAAUGGAUCAUGUAUGUUUUCAUAUCAGUUAAUCUUUAACUUAUCAAUUUAUAACAAUAUUUACUUGAUCCAAAAACCAUGUUUGUGGCAGAUUGGUUGUAAUGAUCCACGUAGUCAUUUAGUUUAUUGUAAAAAAAAAAAGAUUAAUCUUGGUGAGUUAAGUAAUUAUUCAAACAUGGCAUGAAUGUUUUCCUUCCUACAACUCAAUGAUGUUAACUUCUUCUAAAGUUUGACAAUUUCUAUAUACAACAAUGGGGCUCUUCGACGUAACCCAUCAAAUAUUUUAUUAAUAGGAAAAUGCACAAAUAAUAAAUCACUCUUUGAGAUGAACUCAUACUCUUUUCAAGAAGAGAGGAGUGAGAGGUCGAGGUGGGAGAUGGAUCGGAAACAGAUAGGGACCAUGAAGUGGUUAUGGAGGGUGAUGGCGAAGCGGGUGGCACGCUUCAGGGCGUACCACUUGCUGCAGAGGAGGGCGGCGGGGUUGUGGCCGCGGACGUCCAGAACAUUGGCGAUUUAGUUUUUGUCGAGAAAUUUAGAUUAAACUGGACGCUGAUUGACUAUGUUGUUUGCAUAGUCUAUUAAUAAAUCAACUAUGUUUUUUUUAUAGUUAAUUUAUUAGAUCUAAUAUACGUUUUAAUAUUUUAAUCAACUACAAUCGAUUAAUAAAUCAAUAGUAGAUUAGCGUUCAGUUUAAUCCAAAUUUUACAAAAGAACAUAAGGUAAAUUAGAAAAUUGCGAAAAAGAAAUAUGAGAGAGUUUUUCCAAAUUAUUUUUUUAAUAGGGUUCUACCUCAUAUGAUUUUUUGAAAUGAAGGGGUUAUGCUAAUUUUUCCUUUUAAAGUAAUCAUAUCUAAGAUAUAUAUAUAUUAGAGAUAAAAUCAUACUUGCAAAAUUAAUGGCAUUGGAUGGGAUUAAUUAUUAAGAGAUGUGCUAUUUUCACCUUCAAAAUAUUUUAUCACACCACUAAAUUAGAUAUAUUUCCCAUUUUACCUCUUUCUUCUUCUCUCACACCAAUAUUUUUUACGAAAGUAUAAACCAUCUACCACUAAAAUAAUUAAAAUAUUUAUAUAAAAAAACCCCACAAUUUUCACUGAAAAUCUCACCCUCUCCACCUUAAAUGAAUAAUACUUUCGUAAAAGAAAAACAUUUUUGAAGGUCAAAAAGAGCAGGAAUUCACAUUUUUUGAUAAAUAAAUUAAGAUUGUUUGUAUGAAAGAUCUUGAACUUCCUCCAGAAUUGGCAUGUUUGGCUUAAUAUAAUUUUGUUUCCUAAUUUUUUUUUACAUAAUCUUGUAAUAAAUAUUUCUAUUGCAAAAAAAAAAAAAAAAAAAAAAUAGAAAUAACUAAUAACACAUGAAGAUUAAGUGAAUAUAAAGAAGGGUGGUAGAUUAUAAAUUUGAGAGGAAUUUAUGAUAUUUUAUAAUCUUUGGUGGUGAAUUGAGAUACUUUGGAUGUGAAAAAUAAGACCACUCAUUAUUUAUUUUAUGGAUUAUUUUAGAGACUCCCCUCAUAUGAAAAAUAUAUAUAACUAACCACCAAACUAAUUACAUCCUUGAUUCCUUGUGCAUACCCCUCCAUUUUGAAAUUAAUAUGACAGACCCCCAUUGCUCACCCUGAAGUACUAAUGUGCCCUUUUAAAAUCUGUUUUAAAGCCUAGCCACUCACAGUCGUCUAUCUCUUCCUCUCUCAAAUCUCAGAUUCAAAUCCCGCCUCUCUCCAACUGGCGAAGUUGCUUCUCGGAGUCAUAACUCUCUCUCACAUGGUCGGAAUUCGAUGGUUUAACUACCGUUGGAUUCCUCUCGUCGAGCACUUUCUUUUGGGGGUGAUUUCAUUCAGUUUGGAGCGCUGGAUCUGUUUCUGCAAUUUUUUUUUCAGUCGACGCAUAUUUCGACGACGGUAGGUCUUGCCGGAGGUGUAUUUUGUAUUCCGCUAGUCGGAAUUUGACGGGCUACCCACCGUUGGAUUCCUUUCACCGAGAUCUAUAUUUUGAUGGUAAUCUCAUUCAUUUUUAUAUUGUCAGAUUUAUUUCUAUAAUCUUUUUCAUUUGUGAGCGCGGAACCUUGGGUGGUUAGCGGCGGCUAGGGUUUUGGUAGGAGGCGAUUGGGGUGAGAAGUCAUUGGCGGUUUGGUUUAGAAUUCGUAGCUAUGGUCUCUCUCUCUCUCUCUCUCUCUCUCUCUCUCUCUCUCUCUCUCUCUCUCUCUCUCUCUCUCUCUCUCUCUCUCUCUCUCUCUCUCUGUGUGUUUAUUUUAGAGUGUUUUGAUGGUUCUUCAAUUUUUGUUAUUUGCACUAAAAUAAUUUUUUUUUUUUUGAUUUUACAAUUGCAUCUUAAUGAAAACCAUUCAUCCUCUACUUGAAGGUGUCAAAAUUUUUGUUGAAGUUAUAUCUGCUUCAAGUUACAAUAUUCAACAGAUUGUGUACAUUACCAUACAAUAAUAGUUACAUAUAGUAAAAUGUAGUUACAUAUGCAUAUAUUUGUCUAUUUUCGAUUUGUAUUUUAUUGGUUCUAAGGUGAUUUGUAAUAUAAAUAUUGAUAUUUGUAAUGGGGUUUAUGAAUUUCUUUUGUAUAAGCCAGUAUUCGUGUGUAUACAUAAUGAUCGAAUAAAAAUAUCGGGUUAAAAAAAAGAACAUAACUACGAAUUACUAUUGUUUAGUACAAUUACAUGUAGUUAUUUUCAGUACAAUAAACAUAUAUUUCAUAAAAAAAAUUAAUUCAGUUUUUUUUUAAAAAAAGUUAAAUAAAAAAAAUUAAAAAAAAAAUAAUAAAAAUAUAUAUAAAUUAAACAAACAGGUUUAUAUAAAAAAAUGAAAAAUAAUAAUAAUUAAAUCAGUGAAAAUGCUAAAUGUAUGACCAGAAAUGCUGAAUGCAGUUUUGGCAAAAAAUUGCAUAUAAUACUUUCUCCAUUGAAUAUGUCAAAGGAUAAUUUUAACUUGAAUUUAUCCCUAAUUUAUUUGGUAGCUAAGAAUGUGUAAAAUAACCCCUUAAUUUUAUUGAAUACUAUUUACAUACAAGGCUUAAUAGUGACAACUAAACGAGUUCUAAAUUUGAUGAGUACAUUUGAAACUAAUUUAUUUUAUAUAAUUGUUCCAAUCUGAUGUAAUUAUUUAUUCCUCCAAAAUUUAAUUAAUUAAAAAAAAAAUUCCACUUUUUUCCUUGUACUUUGGCUCGAUGUCACUUUAUCCUCUUCUAUUUUUGAUUGCAUCGAUUUGUCCCCCUGUACUUAAAAAUUAUUUCAAUGUGACCCUCGUUGUUAGUUGUCAGACAUUUGACCUUAGCACAGUUUGGUCUAAGCUCUGAAAUUAUAAAAAGACCACCCCUCCCAAUUUAAAUAAUUAUUAAAAAACGAAAAAGAAAAAAAAAACAAAAAAAGUAAUAAUAAAAAAUUCAAGACAACGAGAAAGCAUAGUCCAUGACGAUAUCCACAAUUUAUUUUUAAUUUACUUUUUUUAAUUUUUUAAACUAGGAGGAGUGAUUUUUUUGUAAUUUUUAGACUUAGAUCAAACGGUGUUAAUGUUAAAUGUCUAAAAACUAACGGCGAUAGCCACAUUGAAACAAUAUUUCAAGUACAUGGAGGGCAAAAAUCGAUUCAAUUAAAAGUAGAAGGAGUAAAGUGAUAUCGAGCCAAAGUACAAGGAUGAAAAGUUAAAUUUACCAAAAAAAAAGUAAUAAAAGAUAUAUAUUCAGAAUAUUAAGAGUGUAAUAAAAUAAAAUAAACAAGUAGAAGUAUCUCGAAGACCUCUGAUCCAAUUGUGGCUCACAAAUUUCAAAUUUGAGGUUGUCGUUUAGUAAUGUAAGUUGACAGAAAAAAUAUCUAAAAUAAAAUAGAAAUAAAAAUAGUCAUCAUCUUCCUAUGAAGAAAGGAAGGGCUGUGUUGGAUUUUGCAGUAUUAACCUCAAAAACAAUUGUCGCCUCAAAUGAGAUAAGGUUACUGCCACGCGUCACUCCCUCAUAGAUUCAAGCGAUAAGGAAGCAAUCCAUCUAUUAUGUGGUCAUAAAAUCGAAAUGUAGAGGCAGGUCAGAUCCAACGGCCCACAUGAAUUAAAAAUAAACAAGUUUCAAUAAGGAGCGUUGGAUGAAAUGUUGAAAGAAGAAACAGGGUAGGGGGUGGGUUUGGCAUUAUAAAGGGAGAGGUGCAACAAGGCAUUUCUCCAUCGACUGUUGUUUGUGUCUUCUAAAGCAAAGAAAAGCAAAUUAAAGAGAGGAGAAAUGGCAGCCUCAAUGGUAUCAACCACAGCCACCGCCGCCGUGAGCCGCGCCACCGCAGCUCAAGCGAGCAUGGUUGCUCCUUUCACCGGAUUGAAGUCCACCUCCGCAUUCCCCGCUACCCGCAAGACUGCUGACAUCACCACCAUUGCCACCAACGGUGGAAGAGUCUCCUGCAUGAAGGUACCACAUUUUAUUCAUUUCAUUAAUUUGAAUUCAAUUAUUAAUAAUGUAUAGUUAACUAAUUAAUUAAAUGGAUAUAUAAAUGUUUGAAAUUGAAUGAUUAGGUGUGGCCAACAGUGAACAACAAGAAGUACGAGACACUGUCAUACCUACCUCCUCUAACCAGAGAGCAACUCAUCAAGGAAGUUGAUUACCUUCUCCGCAACAAGCUCAUUCCUUGCAUUGAGUUCGAGUUGGAGGUAUUAUUUCUCGAUCUAUAUAUAUAUUUUCUUUAUUUUAAAAUUAAAAAUGAAUAAAUAAAAAUGAAAAAUAUAAAAAGUUGUAAAUAUAUGUGCAGCACGGAUUUGUGUACCGUCAGCACAACAGCUCCCCAGGAUACUAUGACGGACGAUACUGGACAAUGUGGAAGUUGCCUAUGUUCGGAUGCACAGACGCAGUACAGGUAGUGAACGAGCUUGACGAGGCAAUCAAAGCAUACCCAGAGGGCUUCAUUAGAAUCAUUGGAUUCAACAAUCUGAAGCAAGUCCAGGACAUCAGUUUCAUUGCCUACAAGCCUGCCGGCUACUAAUCAUUUCUAUUGUGUUUUCCAUUUUACGAUUCUUUUUUGUAUUAUUACUUUCAUUUCCUUCUCCUUUUAGAAUCCUUUUAGGGUUCUUUUUUGUAUUACUUUCAAUUCCUAAUCUCUCUAUGUCUUUGGGAUCGAAAAGAUAUUGGAGUGUAUGAAGAUUAAGUAUUUUAUAUGUUCCACCUUUUUUUAAUCCUCCAUAAGCUAUAUUGCAUUUUUUUUCUCUUUUAAUAAUUAUAUUUUUAAGCCGCGGCUAUUUGAAAUACUAAUUACACUAAGUGGAAGAUCAACUAUAAGGAACGGAAUACUAUAAAAAAAAAAAAGACUAUUUUUCAACAUGGAAGGCCAUGGAAUGACCGUCUGAGCAACAUUUGCCACCCAAGCGUCGCCACUGUUGGAAUCGAGCAAUCCUUCACAGUUACCAAGAAAAACCUUCACAAUAAAGGUUUUUGAAAUCUCCAAAAAAAAUGAAAAAUAGAAAAGGGUUUUUGUAACAAUAGAUAUUUUUUGAUAGAUAUUUUUUUUUGUCAAAAUGUCAUUAAGAAGUCUCAAUCAUUAAGAAAGUAGUUGUGUCACUUAUGUUCAAAAUCAACGAUUUAAGGAGACAAUGGUUUUUUUCCUUUAAAACUAACGAUCCUAGAAAAUCGACAUGCAAAUGUCGAUUUUUUGGGUGGUUGAUCGACAUAUGCAGGUUGAUUUUGAGGGUAAAUUUUCGACAUGUCAUGUUUUUGCAAAAAAACUAGACAUCUUAGUGUCGAAUUCUUGCUAUUAUAUUUGACACUAGGAUGUUGAUAUUUGACUAUUUUCCUUUUUUUUUUUCCUUUGACAAUAUAAUGGCCACGUAAAUGUCAAUUUUCAUGCAAAUGUGGACAUUGACCCUAGUAGAUUACUACAUUCUUUUUGCUGAAGUAAAAAAGUCGUAACAAAAGGUACCUUUUACUAUAGGACAAUCUUGGAGUCGUAGUAAAUGCUAGGAUUUACUGUAGCAAAAAAAUAUUUGCUACGACCUGUUUACCGUAGCAAAGUUUUUGUCACUCGACUAUAUGCUACGGGGCAAAUUCAUAGCAAAUGCAUAACAAAAGCCUUUUUGCUACGAAUUUGAUACAUUUUGCUACGGUUAAUGGUCGUAGUAAAAAAUAUUUUUUCUACUAGUAUGGUUUGUGCGAUUUUGUUUUUCAAAAACAACAAAAAUGGUCACCGAACUAAAAAACACACAUUAAUAUAUGGAGAAAUGUCAAAUAUAUGGAGACAUGACAAUAGAAUGAUCUAAACCCUGGUUGAUUUCAAGUUAGAGACCUCUCUAACUGCUGGGGCAUUAGUACAUUUAUGUAAAUAGACUUACAAUAAAUUUAUAAAAACUAAAAAUACAAGGUAAAAUGAUUAAAAUAGUUAUAUAAAUAAUGUCAAAUGAAUUAUAUAAAUAAAUAAUAUAGUGUCAUAACAAAAAUUAUAUGUAUUUCACCGUGACUUCACUAGAGGACCAGCUGUAUCGUAACAUGUCCCUGAGUUCCACAGAGGACCGCCCCAAGGACCAGUGUUCGUGCACUCCGAAAUCUAGUGGAGGUUUGUGCAUUGUAUGCGGGGAUUCGAUCGCUAGAAUUGUCUUGGAUGUCUUGUGUAUUCUCAUAGUUUGUAAUCUUUAAGUCUCUGGCCAGAGCUGACUAAGUGAUGAUUAGAGAAUUCGAUUCUCUAAGUCACGCACGUACCGAUUACAAUACUUAGAACGAUCGCACAGUUAUUGAACUACAAAGGAGGUCUCGAUGAAGCAAUAUGCCUUUAGUUCAAUCGGAACAUAUGAAUAGAAGGGAUCGUACUGUACGUUAACUAUAUCAAACGGUUCUUGCAGACACUUCAUUUGUAUCUAGGUAAUCAUGACGCGUAGUUGCUAGACGGCAAUCUUGAUUCGUUGGGUGAUUAAUUUGAAACGAGCUUCUUCUUAAUUGUAACUCUAGGGACGAGUUUAAACCACAAAGAGUUGUGGACCUACGGCUAGCUUACACGUGAACCAUCGAGGGUCACACUGCUCGUGCACUCGAGUUCUUUGAAUAAACGGUCAAAGAUAAAAAUGUUUAAUCUUUGCAUAAUUGGAGGUCAAUAUGAUUGAGUCCAACAUUCGUAAAUUGGAAUUAUGAAUGAGAAUAGGAAAAGGAAAAGACUAGGCGAACAUCUUAGUGAACUUUCUAAAUUGGGCAGUUUCCAAAUUUAGAAAGUCCACUGAAUUAGGGUUUCCACUUUUAGAAAUUGGAAAUCGAGAAUUGGCAUUCGUAAUGACGAGGACGUUUCAAUGAUUCCGAAAAUAUAAUUGUUAUAAUUUUCCAAUCACUGAGUUGCGAGAAACGAGUAGAAAGACUAACGAACUUAAGCUAUUGGGCCCGGUCCAACUUAAGCCCGUUAGGGCUUUUAUACAAGACACUAUAAAUACAAGAUUUAUAGGUUUGCACACACACAACACAUACCACGAAACCCUAGCCGCUCACCUCACACACGGCCGCUGCCUCUCAUCUGCCGUCACCGCCCCGUCGCCGGAAAUCGGUGCCCCACGCGCCGAUUUACAUUGGUAGAUCUAUUCCUUUUUGAUUUAUUCUUCCGUUAAUUCUAACUUUUGCGUGUCUAGUGCCACGUAUUUAGUAGAACUUGGUAUACGAGGUGAAUCUGAGAGGAGGAAGACAAAGGAGUCAAUCUGCCGACACGCCGCCGCCGAACCACCGACGCACGCGCCCUCACGCGUUGCCCGAAGACAGCGCGUGAAUCUCACGCGCCGCCGCUGAUCCGCGCGUCCGCCGCCGCUAUUUUGCCGCUGCUCCUCCUGACUUCACAGAUUGGUUUCCGUGGCAGUUUGCUUCAAUCCGAGAACUCGCCUCAAACUUCAAGAGGUAACUUUUCGAAUCCGUUAUGUAUUAGAUUUUUUAUUUAAUUAGAUUAAAUUAAACAUUGAUAUUCGCAGUAUGAUUUUACUUGAAUGUUUUCAUGAAAUUAUGUAUGUAUGAUUUUGCUUGAACGAUUUUCGUGAAAUCGUCAGUAUAUGAAUUACGAUUUACUGCGAGCAUGCUAUGUGAUUUAAUUAUCGAAUGAAUAUGGAUGUUGUUAUUUAAAUUUCGCUGGAAGCGUUAAGGUAUGUAAUUAAUUGUUAUUAUCGAGUAUGUGUUUAUAUGAAUGAAAUUAUUUUUCAUAUAUUUUUUUUGUUUUUCUCUGCGUACACGUGACCGAUUCUCAACACCCACAACUUCAAAAGAUGCUUCUUUAACAAUAAAACUAACAUAAUAAAAACAAAUUCAUUCACGUAGACGAUUUCUGCAACUUGAUAUUCUUAUAUAUAUUCUCUUUUCUUUUUUUAUAUAAGAUAUACUUAUAUAUACUCGUUAUAUAUACACCCUAUAGUCAUAUAGCUCAAGAUAAGGUUUAAUUUUACUGUACACUCCCAAAAUAUAUAGUACAUAUUUUUAUAUUUUGCACCCAAAAAACAAAAGAAAAAAAAACGUAUGCAUUCUUUUUUUUUGAUAAGUAAAACGUAUGCAUUCUGCACCUUUGAAAUGUGAUAAACCUCUUCCACAUAGCAUCAAUCAUCUAUAACAAUUUAUUCUUGACUUUUUUUCGA